ACGGAAGGCAGCAGUAGGGAAUAUUGCACAAUGGGGGGAACCCUGAUGCAGCAACGCCACGUGUGGGAAGAAGCAUUUCGGUGUGUAAACCACUGUCGAUAGGGAAUAAUGCCUUCUUUCGGGGAGGUUGAAUGUACCAUUAGAGGAAGCACCGGCAAACUUCGUGCCAGCAGCCGCGGUAAUACGAGGGGUGCGAGCGUUGUUCGGAAUCACUGGGCGUAAAGGGAGCGUAGGCGGAACUGCAAGCGGUCUGUUCAAUCACGGGGCCCAACCCCGUACCAGCGGACCGGACUGCCGUUCUUGGAUAGCUCAGGGGCUGGCGGAAUUCCUGGUGUAGCGGUGGAAUGCGUAGAGAUCAGGAAGAACACCGAUGGCGAAGGCAGCCAGCUGGGGGCUUAUCGACGCUCAUGCUCGAAAGUGCGGGUAGCAAACAGGAUUAGAUACCCUGGUA
rnacentral:rRNA from 1 species